GUCCGAACCGGAGCGAGCCUCAUCUGGCUGUCUGGAAUUACAGAUGUGCACCAUCAUGCCUAGUCAGGUGCACACGAGUCCAGUUUAUGCCUCUUGAACAAACUUCACCUCAGAGGGUGAGGCUCCUCGAGGGAGUCUUGUGCCUUCUGCCGAUCCCACCUGCCCUAUCACCCCAGUCACCCCAGCCAACCCAGCCUUGGCUGGACUGCAACUCCCCGUCCCUGUUGCCCCCAAGUCACUCUUGGAUCCUCUUUCUGUCCCAAGACCUCUCUAGCCCUUGUAAACCCUCUCACGCCCUCCACUGUCGCCCCUCUAGGGUGGAGCAGAGCAGCAGCUGCAGGGACCCCCUCACCUCUUCCUUGGCCCACACCCACCAGGCACUCAUCUGGCAGAGGCACAAGCCCCCAGCCGCUCUCCACUCGCUUCCACGCCCAGGCAUCGUCAGAACCUUUCCCAAAGGCCCUGAACCUGCUUCUGCCAAGUCAACCUGGAAAACCCUCAGGCCGGGUUUGACAGCCACAGCCAUGGCUGAAGAUGAAGAUGCUGGGCAAGAACUCCAGAGGCAGUGGCGGGAAGAUCGCUGAGAGGUGGAGGCCAGCCUGGACCACAGAGUGAGUUGGAGACCAGCCUGAACUACAUACCAAGUCCCUGACUAAAAAAAAAAAACAAAAAACAAACAAAAACCACAAAAAGAUACUCUGGCUACAU